rnacentral:misc_RNA from 1 species
GAUGAAGAACGCAGCGAAAUGCGAAAAGUAAUGUGAAUUGCAGAAUUCAGUGAAUCAUCGAAUCUUUGAACGCACAUUGCGCCCGCCAGUAUUCUGGCGGGCAUGCCUGUCUGAGCGUCAUUUCAACCCUUACGCCCCUAGGGCGUGGUGUUGGGGAUCGGCCAAGGCCCGCAAGGGACGGCCGGCCCCUAAAUCUAGUGGCGGACCCAUCGUGGCCUCCCCUGCGAAGUAGUAAUAUAUUCCGCAUCGGAUAGCGAUGAGCCCCUGCCGUUAAACCCCCAACUCUUUCAAGGUUGACCUCAGAUCAGGUAGGAAUACCCGCUGAACUUAAGCAUAUCAAUAACGGAGGA